rnacentral:rRNA from 1 species
GAGGACCCCAACAAACCCUGUUAUUUUCAGUAUCUUCUGAGUAAAAACACAAUCAAUUAAAACUUUCAACAACGGAUCUCUUGGUUCUGGCAUCGAUGAAGAACGCAGCGAAAUGCGAUAAGUAAUGUGAAUUGCAGAAUUCAGUGAAUCAUCGAAUCUUUGAACGCACAUUGCGCCCGCCAGUACUCUGGCGGGCAUGCCUGUUCGAGCGUCAUUACAUCCCUCAAGCCCCUGCGGCUUGGUGUUGGGCCUCGGCCGUCCCUCAAGCGGCGGCCGUGCCCCAAAUACAGUGGCGGUCUCGCCCCCGGCUCCUCUGCGUAGUAGUAACAUCUCGCACUGGGACGGAGCGUAGGCCACGCCGUAAAACAACCCAACUUUCUGAAUGUGACCUCG